GUAGGUGGCAAGCGUUGUCCGGAAUUAUUGGGCGUAAAGCGCGCGCAGGCGGUCCUUUAAGUCUGAUGUGAAAGCCCACGGCUCAACCGUGGAGGGUCAUUGGAAACUGGGGGACUUGAGUACAGAAGAGGAAAGCGGAAUUCCACGUGCAGCGGUGAAAUGCGUAGAGAUGUGGAGGAACACCAGUGGCGAAGGCGGCUUUCUGGUCUGUAACUGACGCUGAGGCGCGAAAGCGUGGGGAGCAAACAGGGAUUAGAUACCCUGGUAGUCCACGCCGUAAACGAUGAGUGCUAAGUGUUAGGGGGUUUCCGCCCCCUUAGUGCUGCGGCUAACGCAUUAAGCACUCCGCCUGGGGAGUACGGCCCGCAAGGCUG
rnacentral:rRNA from 1 species